rnacentral:lncRNA from 1 species
GAUUGGACCAUCUUUGACCAUUCAAUUUCAUGUUUUAAAUGAAUAAAAUUUUAACUUCAGCUGCACAAAUAAACAUUAGAACAUCCAAAAUAAUAUAUGCAACUAAAAAUCACAUUUUAAGCAUCUUUAAUUCCCAAACCCAAUAAAUCCAAUUGUCACAAAUUCACUUUAAAUCAAUCAUUUAAGCACAAAUAUCUCAUCAAAAAUUUCAAUUUUAAGACAUAAAUGUGGGCAUAAAUAUGCACUCAUCAGCACACUCGUGACUUUUACCAGAAAUAAUUUUCCUUUCUUAAUUUGAAGGUUUGGUGUAAGAAAGAGUUGGGGUUCCAGUGUUGUUUCCUAUAGUAAUUUUUGUCUUGUUCUUGCCUUGUGGUAGUGUAUUAUGCUCUAUAGUGGUAGAG